rnacentral:rRNA from 1 species
GUAAUACGGAGGAUGCAAGCGUUAUCCGGAUUCAUUGGGUAUAAAGCGUGCGCAGNCGGGUUGGGUAAGUCAGGGGUGAAAGCCCGCAGCUUAACUGUGGAAUUGCCUUUGAUACUGCUCACCUUGAGUCCAGCUGAGGUAGNCGGAAUGUAGUAUGUAGCGGUGAAAUGCUUAGAUAUACUACAGAACACCGAUUGCGAAGGCAGCUUACCAAACUGGCACUGACGCUCAGGCACGAAAGCGUGGGGAGCGAACAGGAUUAGAUACCCUGGUAGUCCACGCCGUAAACGUUGAUCACUCGUUGUUGGCAAUACACCGUCAGCGACCUAGCUAAUGCGCUAAGUGAUCCACCUGGGGAGUACGAUCGCAAGGUUGAAACUCAAAGGAAUUGACGGGGGCCCGCACAAGCGGAGGAGCAUGUGGUUUAAUUCGAUGAUACGCGAGGAACCUUACCUGGGCUUAAAUGUAGUGUGCAUUCCCGUGAAAACGGGAUUUCCUUCGGGACCCACUACAAGGUGCUGCAUGGUUGUCGUCAGCUCGUGCCGUGAGGCGUCGGGUUAAGUCCCAUAACGAGCGCAACCCCUAUCUUUAGUUGCUAACAGGUCAUGCUGAGGACUCUAAAGAAACUGCCCGCGCAAGCGGUGAGGAAGGUAGGGAUGACGUCAAAUCAGCACGGCCCUUAUGUCCAGGGCUACACACGUGCUACAAUGGCAGGUACAGUGGGCAGCUAUCACGCAAGUGAAUGCUAAUCUCUAAAACCUGUCUCAGUCCGGAUUGGAGUCUGCAGCCCGACUCCAUGAAGCUGGAUUCGCUAGUAAUCGCACAUCAGCCAUGGUGCGGUGAAUACGUUCCCGGGCCUUGUACACACCGCCCGUCAAGCCAUGGAAGCUGGGAGUACCUGAAGUCUGUAACCGCAAGGAGCGGCACUAGGGUAAAACACGGUGACUAGGGGCUAAGUCGUAANNCAAGGUAACNCAAGGG